rnacentral:rRNA from 1 species
AUUGAACGCUGGCGGCAGGCCUAACACAUGCAAGUCGAACGGUAACAGGAAGAAGCUUGCUUCUUUGCUGACGAGUGGCGGCCGGGUGAGUAAUGUCUGGGAAACUGCCUGAUGGAGGGGGAUAACUACUGGAAACGGUAGCUAAUACCGCAUAACGUCGCAAGACCAAAGAGGGGGACCUUCGGGCCUCUUGCCAUCGGAUGUGCCCAGAUGGGAUUAGCUAGUAGGUGGGGUAACGGCUCACCUAGGCGACGAUCCCUAGCUGGGCUGAGAGGAUGACCAGCCACACUGGAACUGAGACACGGUCCAGACUCCUACGGGAGGCAGCAGUGGGGAAUAUUGCACAAUGGGCGCAAGCCUGAUGCAGCCAUGCCGCGUGUAUGAAGAAGGCCUUCGGGUUGUAAAGUACUUUCAGCGGGGAGGAAGGGAGUAAAGUUAAUACCUUUGCUCAUUGACGUUACCCGCAGAAGAAGCACCGGCUAACUCCGUG